UUCUCAUUACACUGUCACAGAUGUGUAACACGGGGGCAGCUUUUGUGAGUUUCUGAUGCGUUGUGGUGUAAACAAAGACAUCUGUUCGGUGUUUAGAUUUGUGGGCUGGAAAAAGCCUGGAAGAGCAGGUUGGUAAUACAGAAACAACAGUAUAUUCAUUAAUCCAUGACACUUGGUGAAUGUGUCACUGAAUGCUUCUGUUGUGUUACUUGCUGGUUAACUGUUAUAUUUUAGGGCACUAUAGCUGAAUUCAAUAUCAAAGCCGAACAAAUGCAGCUGUAGCUAUUCUAGAUGAAACAUAUGUGCUGUUUUUAGAAGCAUAGCUCACCUAAAAAGAAACAUUUAUGUUGAAUUCUGAUGACUGGUGGGCAGAACCUGAUUUUGCUGAGUUUGACGUGCUCCUGAAUCAACAUCUGUGUUGACCCUGGAACAACAUUGUGGUUAACCAAUCAGAUUUUAAAAUAUGUUGACCCAGGAACACACCAGACUCGACAAAAUCAGGACUAGCGUGGGCAACUAAUUUAAUCCUAAAUUUCAGCAAAUCUGUUCCUGUGAAGAAACAAACUCAUUUACAUCUUGGAUGGCUUAAGGAUAUUAAAGCUCUUGUCAUGGGCAAAAAAAGAGGUUAUGUUAAUAACCUUUAAGUGUGAAUUUCUCUCGCUCCGGAGAAGAGGUCGCCCCUGCAGACAUCAGAUGUGAGGAAACAGUCGGACAACAGCGAUUCAACCUGUUAGAGCACGCUCUUCAAAGACCUCCCGAGGAGACAAAAGAGAUGAGGAGAUGAGUUACUACUAACACCUCCCAGUAUGGAGGCAGUUCUCUCUGUGUCCAUCCCGGCAUUGUUUUCAAUUUAGUUUUCUCCCUCAAUUCCUCAACGCGGCAGGCAGGCAGGCAGGCACGCUCUCUAGGGCAAGUAAAUGCUCAACGCACCGCUGGGGUCCUCGGCAGAAUGGCAGACCAGAGCAACGGCGCCUUAGCAAUUAAACAGAGGGAUUCGCACUUGUCUGGUUCUGAGCUCACUUCCAAUCUGGGUUUUGGACACAAGUCAAAGAUAACAGCUGUACACGUUGAGGGAUCAGUGAACCCAGCUGACUCCCUGGCAGCCGGAACACCGGCAGGAACCAGCUCAUAAUUAGAAGCGUUUUGGGUCAUCUUGAGGAGAAAUGGAGAAAAGAGAGACAUGCAGGGAGAAUAAAAGGCAAGUGUGCAUUUAUGAAUAGAUGCGCACUACUGCUUAGCAAUACCACAAUAGGAAGGAUCGCAACUUCAGUGUCAUCAUUUAAAUUUGAAAAUUUUACAUCUAUUUAUGUUCAUAUUUAAUCUAUAUUCGUAUAAAACUAUAUAUAAUUAAA